UUCUUGGAAAUUAAAGAUUUUGGCGGUAUUCUAGUCCAUUCAGAGGAACCUGUUCUGUAAUUGAUGGUCCACGAUUUAUACAACUUACUUUAUAGGUUUGCAUAUCGUCGUAGUUUGAAUGUUUUAUAAGAAUUUAAAUGUUCAAUAUUCUUUAUUAGGAGGUAAAUCAGAUCAAGGUGUAGUUUAUGGGUAAGGAGAAAUGGGUUACAAUAAGUUUACUUAUAUGGUUUAGGUCAUUAAAGAUGGUUUAAUAAAGUGGAUUUGAAGGUAAUUUUGUCUAAAUAGACAAUUUGAUUUAGGCUCUAGGAUAUGCACAUAUCGCCCGUCGCUUUCGCUAUAAAGUGGAAUAAGUCGUAACAAAGUAGGCUUACUGGAAAGUGUGCCUGGAAAGGCAAGUUAAAGCUUUAUAGUAAGCAUUUUAUUUACACUAAAGGGACGGUUGUGAAAUUCGACUUAAUUUGAGUCUUUUAGGUUAUUAAGUUUUAGGGGGAAUUUUUCAUGAAGUAAGAAAACUGGGGUUUAGUUAUUAGCUGAGAAAAAAUUAUUUUUAUAAUAGUGGAUUAGUAUUGUAGGAGAAAUUUAAGUGAUCGUGUAAAAGAAGAUUUUAAUUUUUGUACCUUGUGUAUCAGGGUGAAUUAAAUUAAGGGUUUAGAGGGGACUAAUCCCGAAUUUGGGGGAGUUUCUUGGUUAUAGUUUUAUUGUGGCAUAAAUAUUGUCAAUAGCCAGGAGGAGAUGAAACGUUAUUCGUCCUCAAAUAUAUCUGGUUGCUUAAGAAAAAAAUUUAAUUUGUUUGCUGGAACAAUUAGGUUAAUUUGUUAAUUUAAUUGUAUCAGUGGCCUAUACUUGGGGGGAUAAGCUUUUAGGUAAAUUUUUAGAAACAGGAAUUUUAGGGUAAAAUUCGUAGGAUUAGUAAUUUCUAUCGUUGAGAGUAUGUUACAAUUCGUUUUAUUUAAAUUAAGAUUUUUUAGGUUUUAAGUUUUUUAUUGAGCUGAUUACUUUAACUGUGGUUGUGAUGUAAUAAUGGUUUAAUUAGUACAAAUUUAUGUAUUGAGGGGAUUACAGGGUUAGGUGAUUAUAAGGAAUUCGGCAAAUUUGUUUUUCACCUGUUUAUUAAAAACAUGUCCUUUUGAGUUAAUUUAAGGUCUGGCCUGCCCGCUGAGAAUUGAAUGGCCGCGGUAUUUUAACCGUGCAAAGGUAGCAUAAUCAUUAGUUUUUUAAUUAGAAGCUGGAAUGAAUGGUUGAAUGAAAAAACUACUGUCUCUUUUUUAAUUGUGGAAUUUUAUUUUUAAGUAAAAAAGCUUAAAUUUGAUUAAAAGACGAGAAGACCCUAUAGAGUUUUAUAAAACUUUAUUGAUAUUUUUUUGGAAUUAAU
rnacentral:rRNA from 1 species